UCACAGGAAUAUAAAUGAUGCCAUUGCAGAACAGAAUAUCUGACAGCAAAUUCUAUAUCAGAUGUACAGAAGAUGAGGCUGUAAAGUUUCUGAUGAGUCAAAUGGUGUAAGAAUGCAUAUCCAAUAAAGGUGUCAGCAGCCUAUAUUUAUAAAUGGGUCUGUGAAUGCAAAGCAUUACAAAAAAAUCUUAUCUACCAAGCCACCUCCAACAAUCAAGGAACAAAAUCUAAACUGAAAUCAUCAUUGCACCAAGAUGGUAAAAAAAGUUUCUAUAAGAUAUCCAGAUCAAAUGCCUAAACUGACUAAAUAACAGUUCUGAUCAACAUUAAGUUAUUGAGAACUGCUGGCAUAUCACGGACACAAAAAUUUCAGAGAAGAUGCCUGAAAAUAAAUAUCAAGUGCAGAAAUGAAUAUAAGUUAGUAUCACAAGCUUGGUAUAGAAUACUUAAAGAAACUCAUCCAUUCUACACCAGUGCUACAAAAUUGUUGUUAUGAAGUAUUACAAUCCUACUAAAUGAAAAAUAACUGUUUGCUGUUUUCCAUUACUUGUGUUAUUUACUGCAACGACGUGUUGUUCACAGCAUAAAUAAUGUUCAUUAGCAGUAUUGAUGAAGCUGUGGUAUGAAACAAAACUUAAGUUCAAUUUACUAUUAUAUCUAAUAAAUUGCAUUUUUGG